rnacentral:lncRNA from 1 species
UGGCUGAGCAAAGAUAGUGUUAUUGUUAAGAGACAGGUAUGUCCGCUACCAUUGGCAUGUUUGAUGGGCAAAAAUAGUGUUACUGGUUACAGGCUGACAUGUUGGAUGAGCAAAAAUGUUAGUUAUUGGUUAGAGACUGGUAUGUCUCCUACCAUUGGCAUGAUGAAUGAGCAAAAUGUUGUAAUUGGUUAGAGACAGGCAUGUUGGAU